rnacentral:rRNA from 1 species
UGAGACUUUAGGUCUCCUGAAGGAACGUUGAAGACGACGACGUUGAUAGGCCGGGUGUGUAAGCGCAGCGAUGCGUUGAGCUAACCGGUACUAAUGAACCGUGAGGCUUAACCUUACAACGCCGAAGCUGUU